rnacentral:misc_RNA from 1 species
UUUCUCUCUCCCCUACUUUCCUUCUUUUCCUUCUAUUGUCUUUUUCUUCCUUCUCUCCAAAGAAAAAAAGAGACAAAUGAAUUGAUAAGAAGUGAUAAUGGUUAAUCUUUGAUAUUCUUUUCCUAUUUUGAAGAUGACAAAGGUGAUAAAAACUUUUGCAUGCUAGAUAACGGAAACUGAAGUCUUUUGAAAUUACAAAAUUCAUAGUUGAAAUUGUAAUGCCCUAUG